UUGAAUUAUAAAGCUGAUGACUAAGGUCCC
rnacentral:piRNA from 1 species